CCUACGGGAGGCAGCAGUAGGGAAUCUUUCACAAUGGGCGAAAGCCUGAUGGAGCAACGCCGCGUGCAGGAUGACGGCCUUCGGGUUGUAAACUGCUUUUAUAAGCGAGAAAUAUGAUGGUAACUUAUGAAUAAGGAUCGGCUAACAACGUGCCAGAAGCCGCGGUCAUACGUGGGCGCCGAGCAUUAUCCGGAGUGACUGGGGGUAAAGAGUUGCGUAGGUGGCAUAGUAAGUAGCUAGUGAAAUCUGGUGGCUCAACCAUUCAGACUAUUAGCUAAACUGCUAAGCUCGAGAACGUUAGGGGUAACUGGAAUUUCUAGUGUAGGAGUGAAAUCCGUAGAUAUUAGAAGGAACACCGAUAGCGUAGGCAGGUUACUGGGACGGUUCUGACACUAAGGCACGAAAGCGUAGGGAGCAAACGGGAUUAGAUACCCCAGUAGUC
rnacentral:rRNA from 1 species